GACUCUCUCUCUACUCUCUAGAAUGGCCUUUCUCCAUGCUAACAUGGACUGCUGUGAACCUGUUUGUUGGGUGGUGUGGCCAAGCACAGGACCUCUCCAGAUGGGCAGCACCUCCCUGGGAGGUUAGCAUGGUGUGGCUGUCCCUGACCCUAGGCAGCACACAAGGAAUGGGGCCGGUAGCAGCAGUGAUGGAGAUUGGGAGGAGCAAGGAGAAAUUCGCCUCCAGAGCACGAGAAGGACCAGUGCCAGUGGAAGGAGGACAAAAAUGACCUUGCAACUACUGCCUGUAGCAUGACAUGCAGGCAAUUCCAGGGCUCCUGUGAGUUAGUCGCUGUUCCUGAAUUUCCCACUCUCAAGUAUUACCUUUAAUGUAGCUCGAGAAUAUUAAAGAGUACGUGUGCU
rnacentral:lncRNA from 12 species